GACGAACGCUGGCGGCGUGCUUAACACAUGCAAGUCGAACGCUGAAGCUCAGCUUGCUGGGUGGAUGAGUGGCGAACGGGUGAGUAACACGUGAGUAACCUGCCCUCUUCUUUGGGAUAACGCCCGGAAACGGGUGCUAAUACUGGAUAUUCACUGAUUCUCGCAUGGGGGUUGGUGGAAAGGUUUUUUCUGGUGGGGGAUGGGCUCGCGGCCUAUCAGCUUGUUGGUGGGGUGAUGGCCUACCAAGGCUUUGACGGAUAGCCGGCCUGAGAGGGUGACCGGUCACAUUGGGACUGAGAUACGGCCCAGACUCCUACGGGAGGCAGCAGUGGGGAAUAUUGCACAAUGGGCGAAAGCCUGAUGCAGCGACGCCGCGUGAGGGAUGGAGGCCUUCGGGUUGUAAACCUCUUUCGCUCAUGGUCAAGCCGCAGCUUUGGGUUGUGGUGAGGGUAGUGGGUAAAGAAGCGCCGGCUAACUACGUG
rnacentral:rRNA from 1 species